rnacentral:ncRNA from 2 species
AUCCGUUCCUGCGCCGAUUUGAGCCACAGCUUGCGGGCGCGUUAAAAAUGCCGCUAAAGCGUGCCGAAGAAACCCGGUC